rnacentral:rRNA from 1 species
AGAGUUUGAUCAUGGCUCAGAACGAACGCUGGCGGCAGGCUUAACACAUGCAAGUCGAGCGGACCCUUCGGGGUCAGCGGCGGACGGGUGAGUAACGCGUGGGAACGUGCCCUUUCCUCCGGAAUAGCCCUGGGAAACUGGGAGUAAUGCCGGAUACGCCUUUCGAGGGAAAGAUUUAUCGGGGAAGGAUCGGCCCGCGUUGGAUUAGGUAGUUGGUGGGGUAACGGCCUACCAAGCCGACGAUCCAUAGCUGGUUUGAGAGGAUGAUCAGCCACACUGGGACUGAGACACGGCCCAGACUCCUACGGGAGGCAGCAGUGGGGAAUCUUGGACAAUGGGGGCAACCCUGAUCCAGCCAUGCCGCGUGAGCGAUGAAGGCCUUAGGGUUGUAAAGCUCUUUCAGCUGGGAAGAUAAUGACGGUACCAGCAGAAGAAGCCCCGGCUAACUCCGUGCCAGCAGCCGCGGUAAUACGGAGGGGGCUAGCGUUGUUCGGAAUUACUGGGCGUAAAGCGCACGUAGGCGGAUCAGCAAGUUAGGGGUGAAAUCCCGGGGCUCAACCCCGGAACUGCCUUUAAGACUGCUGGUCUGGAGUCCGAGAGAGGUGAGUGGAAUUCCGAGUGUAGAGGUGAAAUUCGUAGAUAUUCGGAGGAACACCAGUGGCGAAGGCGGCUCACUGGCUCGGUACUGACGCUGAGGUGC